GGGUGCCCUCGCGGCCCCGAUUCUCAAACCACUGUUUACCAAACGUUUCGUUGCCUCGGCGGGCCGGCCAUCUGGCUCGACCAGCGGCCCCCCCCCCCUCCGCCCCUCGGGGCGAGGAAGGGAGCAGCCCGCCGCAGGACGCUACAAAAACCAUUCUGUUCGAAAAACGUCUGAUUUUACCUUCGCGAAUGCGAUAAAUACAACUUUCAACAAUGGAUCUCUUGGCUCCAGCAUCGAUGAAAAACGCAGCGAAAUGCGAUAACUAGUGUGAAUUGCAAAUUUCAGUGAAUCAUCGAGUCUUUGAACGCACAUUGCGCCUCUUGGUAUUCCUCGAGGCAUGCCUAUUCGAGCGUCGUUUCGACCCUCAAGCGCAAGCUUGGUGUUGGGGACCGCCCCUGAAAUACGGAGGCGGCCCUUGAAUCCAUCGGCGGUGCCGGUGCAGCCUGGAGCGCAGCAGCAAUGCAGCUUCUUGGGGCAGCCCGAAGCCAGCCGGACAAUCGAAACUUCAUUUUUUUCUCACGUCGACCUCGAAUUAGGUAGGGAUACCCGCUGAACUUAAGCAUAUCAAAAGCCGGGAGAA
rnacentral:rRNA from 1 species